AUUGCCUGGGGAUGAGAGGGAGAGACAACGCGUGUCUUACACAUCUCCCAACAGCCGACUUAGAUGUGAUCCGUUCUCCCAGAGGGAGCAGGUUUCUUUGAACUUUUCCUUUUUAUGUACAGCAUAGUGCUGAGCAGAUCACUGCACUGUGCAGGAGUUUUAACGACAGUCAGGCCAACAGCAUGGAAGGACAGCGGGAGAGUCAGGAUCCUCCUCCGAGGCCUCUGGCCCGCCACCUCUCUGAUGCAGACCGCCUCCGCAAAGUCAUCCAGGAGCUUGUGGACACAGAGAAGUCCUACGUGAAGGAUCUGAGCUGCCUCUUUGAAUUAUACUUGGAGCCACUUCAGAAUGAGACCUUUCUUACCCAAGAUGAGAUGGAGUCACUUUUUGGAAGUUUGCCAGAGAUGCUUGAGUUUCAGAAGGUGUUUCUGGAGACCUUGGAGGAUGGGAUUUCAGCAUCAUCUGACUUUAACACCCUAGAAACCCCCUCACAGUUUAGAGUAAGUAUCUCAGAUUUAGGCUUAAAGUAAAAAUACGUGGCUGUGGU
rnacentral:sRNA from 1 species